rnacentral:lncRNA from 1 species
AUACCAACUGCCAUUCGUGUGUGUGUGUGUGUUUUGUUCUAUGAUCUGGUCCAUAUAUAGUGUCUGGAGAGGGCUGAAUAGAAAGAUGGCAUAGAGCCGGGCGGUGGUGGUGCACGCCUUUAAUCCCUGGGACCCAGGAAUAGUUGCAAAGGUUGGUAGUUAAGGUAGAUGAAGUGUGGACUUGUAUGAUUCAGGGAAGAAAACUAAGAUUUGUAUUUUGUAAUUCCAAGGUGUAUUAGGUUCUCUGGAGGAACAGAACCAGUGGGAUACACACACAUACAUACAUACAUACAUACAUACAUACAUACAUACAUACAUACAUAUACACACACAUAUAUGUAUUGUAUAUAUACAUAUAUGUGUGUGUAUUUAAUAUAUAUUAAAGAGUGUCUUAAGUCAGUUUACAUUUACAUUGUAACAACAGAUGAAUCUGAGUGGAGAAGGUGAGAACCUGCAAGUUGUUUGGUCCACAGCAGUUCCAAUCUCCUGUGGAAAACCUGGAAGUUUCCUGGAGAUCCAUGGCCCUUUCGUCUACGUGGGAAACCUGUCUGGAAAUACUGGUUCUGAUAUCAGCAGAUGAAUCCGCAGCAUCCACAACAAGGCCGACUGACUCAGCGCGAAGGAGCGAACACCUUUUUAUCUAGCGUGCUACCUGAAGGCACCACCCACGACUGGGGCUAGGUCUUUCCCCAUCAGUCCUGGCAAUCAGGCAGUUCUUCCGAGAGGCUUCCUUCUCAGGUGGUUCUCAUUUGUGACAAGCAGCCAUUAACACCAACGGUUAACACAGGCUUGGUCCAAGCGUUCACAAGUCUCACCAAAUGACCUACAGCUUAGGUGUCUAUGCGCUUACCCAGAGUUCCCUCUGGCUGAGAGAGGAAGCCGACACUUGACAUAGCGUCCGGAUUCUACUCUUUUCUGAUCCUAUUGAACCCUUCAGCUUUAGACAGUGCAUCAGGUACUUUCUUUACCUCUGUAACCAAAUAAAACUUAAGAGAGGAUGGACCUAUUUUGGCUCAUAGUUGGGAUGCACAUUCUGCCCUAUGGGGAAGACAUGGAAGACGUCAUGGUUGCCGGAACUGACUUCUUCCAUCCAGCUGGAAGUGGAGAGAGAUGAAUGCUCAGUAGCCCUUCUCCUUCUCCUUUCAUUGCAUCCUCAGGCCAUGGGUUUAUACCACCCUGUCUGUCUUUCCCCUCCAUCCAUCUUCAUGAAACACCCUUGCAGAUACAUCCAAUGAUGUGUCUCGUUCUCCCAGGAGUUUCUAAAUCCAGCAAACCUGCCGAUGAAGAUGAAGGACCACGGACAAGGUUAGUUUGGUCUUCCAUGAAACGUUAUACAGUUCCUAGUCCUAAAGGCUCUCUCUAAGUCUGCCAUCCUAUGGCUCUUUGUUUCCAUUUUACAGUUGGGGUAAAUGAAGCGCAUGUCUGAAGGAAAAAGUCAAGGGUAGUGCCUAGCAUAUUGGUCAUAUCAAUUCUUUGAAUCCCAGGCUUCAAAUCCUUUAUGACAGUAGUCAUAAAUCAUAAAUAAUUCCAGGCUACUACUCCCAGAUUUCUUAGAAGGAUCAGAGCUCUAACAUUCUUUGGCAGAUGAAAAAAGAAAUUCAAUUAUCUGGAAUGCAAAGAAAAAAAAAAGAAGAAUAUUCUGUCCUGUCAAAAUCUUUCUGAAGGGCAGUAGCGGUUUUUCUUGCUUCAGUGACAGCAAAGGACGUAGCAAUAUUUCUCCCAUUAUCCCCGUUCUGCUCUGCUUCAGGACUGAGAUUCCAAACAGGAAUGACCACUAUUCCUCUAGUGUCAUUUACUCUACUGUUGAAAGCUUUAGAGCCUGUCCUGUAUGUAUGCUGGCUGGGUGUCUAUGCAGAGACGGCGGAUUCUCAUUGGUUUUAUUUGUGGUCUCCACGAACCCCUUCGUGUUUACAUCUUUUUUCAUGAAAGGGAAAAGAAGUUUCAAGUAUGUUCUGCAGGGUGGCGGUAGUGGUUUUCUAUUUUGUUGGAUCCUGGCUAAUGAAGGCUGAGACGUUUGAAGAAUUCAGAAAGAGAACAUUUGUGCUGUGUGCAGAGUCUCAAAGACUACAGUUGUUGUUUAACAAGACAGUUGCUCAGAAGCAAGUGUCUUCAGCCAGCCCCACCCCAUGUCUGAUCAGCUUCUUCCUGCUGCUGGACCAGAAAUGACUGGGUUUUUAGUUUUUGUUGUAUGUGUGUGUUUGUGUGUGUGUGUGAGAUAUGCACACAUUUGUGUGGGUGUGCAUAUGUGUAUAUGUGGAAGCCAGAGGUCAGCUUUAGGUAUGGUCCUAAAUUGCUCCAAUAUUUUAUUUCGUGAUCCUAGACAUCACUAAUUGACUGGCUGGUGAAUGGGCUCCACAGAUCUAUCUGUCUCUACUUCCUGCCUCACUCCCCUAAACUAAGACUGCAGAUGUGUCCCGCUCUGCUUGGAGCAUCCACACUCAGGCCCUCACGCUUGUCUGGAAGUCAUUUUAUAGCUGACUUACAUAUUACCCCAGCUCUUUUGUUCUAUUUUAUUAAAAGUGAUGCCUUAUU